rnacentral:miRNA from 1 species
AAUGGGUAGAUUGGAAUGACC